rnacentral:rRNA from 1 species
AUUGAACGCUGGCGGCAUGCCUUACACAUGCGAGUCGAACGGCAGCACGGGUGCUUGCACCUGGUGGCGAGUGGCGAACGGGUGAGUAAUACAUCGGAACAUGUCCUGUAGUGGGGGAUAGCCCGGCGAAAGCCGGAUUAAUACCGCAUACGAUCUACGGAUGAAAGCGGGGGACCUUCGGGCCUCGCGCUAUAGGGUUGGCCGAUGGCUGAUUAGCUAGUUGGUGGGGUAAAGGCCUACCAAGGCGACGAUCAGUAGCUGGUCUGAGAGGACGACCAGCCACACUGGGACUGAGACACGGCCCAGACUCCUACGGGAGGCAGCAGUGGGGAAUUUUGGACAAUGGGCGAAAGCCUGAUCCAGCAAUGCCGCGUGUGUGAAGAAGGCCUUCGGGUUGUAAAGCACUUUUGUCCGGAAAGAAAUCCUUGGCCCUAAUACGGCCGGGGGAUGACGGUACCGGAAGAAUAAGCACCGGCUAACUACGUG